UAGGGCAGGACGUGAACCCAGAUCCUUAAAUAUACUUGGCAAGUGCUCUAUCACAGAGCUACAUCCUCAACUAACUUUUCACAAGCUUCUACUGGUGCCAGGGUGUCUGCACAUGGCUGGCUAAUGGAAUAUAAAUAGAACAUCACAUGCCCUGUCCCAUAUCCAAGAGUGUGAGCAUCCCUCGGUGGAAAUGGCAGAACCAGCUGCAUCACACGAGCCCUGUGAAUUUCCUCAUGCCAAACAUGUCUGCCUCCUGCUUCUAAUUCUUUUCCAAAUAACUUGAUAGUGGUCAACUGAGUUUCCAGUGGUGGAAAGAACCAAAAUGAAGGCUUUAAUUAAUGUCGUUAUUAAUGGGAAAGCACAUCAAAAUAGAUUUCAGGAAAUUAAAGAAGAUAAGCAAAACCUACCAAUAACAUCAACAAUA